CCUAAUCAGGGGGGGCGAGUGAGGGGGAGAACGCUGCUAGAGAUAAACUCGUCUGCCACCAUCACCUCGCUAUCAGACACGAGGGGUAUAAAUAACAAACCCCUGACAUUCUUCAUCGCCACGGAGAUAACAUCAAGAGGACCUAAAUGAGAGCACGCACACCCGUUACUGCUCAGAGAACCGUGAUACUAACAGCAGAGGUCACUUUGGGCUCAGUUCCUCCGCUGUGACAGUGUACAGAAGUCCACACCAGGCCGAGGGCGGCAAAUCAUCGCCGUUUGUUUGACAGAAGCCGACGAAUCACUCUCGCUCUGGGUGUGUGAUUUACACCGACGCGGGAUUACAGCAUUAAUGCUUAUAAACAGACAGAAAGUGUAGAUAUAAUGUAUAAGACAGAUUCAUGCAGAACAUUAUCAAGAUGGAUAAAACCUUCAGGAGGCCUGCGAA